GAGAAAAUGUGAGAUAUUAUAAUCCUGUGUGCUGUUAGAGGUUUGAUUUGAUUUGCUGUUGUAAAAUUAUUAUUGUUGUUCUAUGUGCAAAAAUGAAUGUUAAUGCAAUGUCUUUGAUUUUAAUCAUCAGGUUAAGAUGAAGACAGGAUUUUUAGCAGAGCCUGGGCUGGGGUUCCUCUUUGGUACACACUGUUGCGCUGGAGUUCACUUGCAUCCUUACUGGUGAUUCUGUUCAUAGUUCAUAGGUGCACAAAAACAGCUCACAAGGAAUGUGACUUAUAAGACUAUAAAGGAGGUUAAAUUCGGGUAAAUUCCUUUAUUGACCUACUGUAUAUAAUUCUUCGGAAGUUA